GUCCACGUAGCUCAGCAGGAUAGAGCACAGGAUUCCUAGUUGUAAAUUGGGGGCUGCACAUCGAAAGAGUGUAGUCGAUCUGCUCAAAGUCGGGGAACGCUUCGCUGAACUCUCAGCAUGCCAAUCCCGAGCCAAGCUCCAGGGAAACUUGGGGAAGGUGUAGAGACUGGAUGGGCAGCGCCUAAAGGCCGAAAGGCUCAUGGUGAAGGGACAGUCCAGACCACGAACGUCCUAGGACGGCGGCUAAAGCCGAAGUGGUAUGAAUCCUGGGGUCGGAGGUUCGAAUCCUCUCGUGGACACCA
rnacentral:tRNA from 1 species